CCUACGGGGGGCUGCAGUGGGGAAUAUUGGACAAUGGGCGAAAGCCUGAUCCAGCCAUGCCGCGUGUGUGAAGAAGGCCUUCGGGUUGUAAAGCACUUUCAGUGGGGAAGAAAGCCUUGGGGCUAAUACCCUCGAGGAAGGACAUCACCCACAGAAGAAGCACUGGCUAACUCCGUGCCAGCAGCCGCGGUAAUACGGAGGGUGCGAGCGUUAAUCGGAAUUACUGGGCGUAAAGCGCGCGUAGGCGGUCUGAUAAGCCGGUUGUGAAAGCCCCGGGCUCAACCUGGGAACGGCAUCCGGAACUGUCAGGCUAGAGUGCAGGAGAGGAAGGUAGAAUUCCCGGUGUAGCGGUGAAAUGCGUAGAGAUCGGGAGGAAUACCAGUGGCGAAGGCGGCCUUCUGGACUGACACUGACGCUGAGGUGCGAAAGCGUGGGUAGCAAACAGGAUUAGAUACCCUUGUAGUC
rnacentral:rRNA from 1 species